AGAGUUUGAUCCUGGCUCAGGACGAACGCUGGCGGCGUGCCUAACACAUGCAAGUCGAACGAGGUCCAUCGUGUGGCAACACACGUGAAGACCUAGUGGCGAACGGGUGAGUAACACGUGAGGAACCUGCCCCGAAGACCGGGAUAACUCUUCGAAAGGAGAGCUAAUACCGGAUACCCCCACCUGGCCGCAUGGCCGGGUGAGGAAAUGGAUUCCGCUUCGGGAGGGCCUCGCGGCCUAUCAGCUUGUUGGUGGGGUAACGGCCCACCAAGGCAUCGACGGGUAGCUGGUCUGAGAGGACGAUCAGCCACACUGGGACUGAGACACGGCCCAGACUCCUACGGGAGGCAGCAGUGGGGAAUCUUGCGCAAUGGGCGAAAGCCUGACGCAGCAACGCCGCGUGGGGGAUGAAGGCUUUCGGGUUGUAAACCCCUUUCAGCAGGGACGAAUCAAGACGGUACCUGCAGAAGAAGCCCCGGCUAAUUACGUGCCAGCAGCCGCGGUAAU
rnacentral:rRNA from 1 species